rnacentral:rRNA from 1 species
GGAGGAAAGUAGGGGAUCGUAAGACCUUGCGCUUUUGGAGCGGCCGAUGCCUGAUUAGCUAGUUGGUGGGGUAAAGGCUUACCAAGGCAACGAUCAGUAGUUGGUCUGAGAGGACGGCCAGCCACACUGGGACUGAGACACGGCCCAGACUCCUACGGGAGGCAGCAGUGGGGAAUUUUGGACAAUGGGCGCAAGCCUGAUCCAGCAAUGCCGCAUGAGUGAAGAAGGCCUUCGGGUUGUAAAGCUCUUUCAGUCGAGAAGAAAAGAUUGUGACGAAUAAUCACAAUUCAUGACGGUAUCGACAGAAGAAGCACCGGCUAACUACGUGCCAGCAGCCGCGGUAAUACGUAGGGUGCAAGCGUUAAUCGGAAUUACUGGGCGUAAAGGGUGCGCAGGCGGCUUUGUAAGUCAGAUGUGAAAUCCCCGGGCUUAACCUGGGAAUUGCGUUUGAAACUACAAAGCUAGA